CCUACGGGUGGCUGCAGUGAGGAAUAUUGGUCAAUGGGCGCGAGCCUGAACCAGCCAAGUCGCGUGAGGGAGGACGGCCCUACGGGUUGUACACCUCUUUUGCCGGGGAGCAACGGGCGUCACGUGUGGCGCCACUGAGAGUACCCGGAGAAAAAGCAUCGGCUAACUCCGUGCCAGCAGCCGCGGUAAUACGGAGGAUGCGAGCGGUAUCCGGAUUUAUUGGGGUUAACGGGGGCGUAGGCGGUCUGUUAAGUCAGGGGUAAAAGCCCGGGGCUCACCCCCGGCCCGCCGUUGAAACUGGCAGUCUCGAGUUGGAGAGAAGUAUGCGGAAUGCGCGGUGUAGCGGUGAAAUGCAUAGAUAUCGCGCAGAACUCCGAUUGCGAAGGCAGCAUGCCGGCUCCACACUGACGCUGAGGCACGAAAGCGUGGGUAUCGAACAGGAUUAGAUACCCCUGUAGUC
rnacentral:rRNA from 1 species